rnacentral:rRNA from 1 species
GAUGAACGCUGGCGGCGUGCCUAAUACAUGCAAGUCGAGCGAACAGAUGAGGAGCUUGCUCCUCUGACGUUAGCGGCGGACGGGUGAGUAACACGUGGAUAACCUACCUAUAAGACUGGGAUAACUUCGGGAAACCGGAGCUAAUACCGGAUAAUAUAUUGAACCGCAUGGUUCAAUAGUGAAAGAGGGUUUUGCUGUCACUUAUAGAUGGAUCCGCGCCGCUUUAGCUAGUUGUGAAGGAAACGGCUGACCAAGGCAACGAUGCGUAGCCGACCUGAGAGGGUGAUAGGCCACCCUGGAACUGAGACACGGUCCAGACUCCUAAGGGAGGCACAAGUAGGGAAUCUUGCGCAAUGGGCGAAAGACUGACGGAGUAACGCCGCGUGAGUGAUGAAGGUCUUCGGAUCGUAAAACUCUGUUAUUGGGGAAGAACAAAUGUGUAAGUAACUAUGCACGUCUUGACGGUACCUAAUCAGAAAGCCACGGCUAACUACGUG